CUUUCCUUUGCAGUCUAACAAAGAAUUAGUCUUCAUCAUCCUGAAUAAAUGAAUGUGCCAUCAAAUACUCCUGUCAUCUAGGAUGGACUGCAGAACAAAACAAACCACCUGGACUGAAAAAGAAGCAAUGAUGAACUUGAAAACUGCCUUUAAUCUGCCUGGUGAGGAUGGAUGGCUUUCUCAGAGAAUCAAGAGAUGAAAUCCUCUAAUACUUUUUAUCGGCAACCUUUUAAAGUGCAGUGCGUGUAUAAAUAAACGCCGUUAUUAACUGCAUGGAAAAAUGCCUAGCAUUCCCAGAGUUGAAAAUGCAAAUCAAUUAUGCAGUGUCUUAAUUCUACCAUCUUUAAAAAAAAAGGAUGAAUUCUAAUGACAUAGCACUGUGAAUCAAAUCUGAAUUACUGGAAAUUGUCACACAUCCCAAUCCAUUAAGAAGCUUUAUUUUUAGG